CCCUUAGAUGUCCGGGGCCGCACGCGCGCUACAAUGGAUGAAUCAACGCGUCAUCCUGGCCCGAAAGGGUUGGGGAACCGCUGAACCUCAUCCGUGGUUGGGAUUGGGGUUUGUAAUUAUUCCCCAUGAACUAGGAAUUCCCAGUAAGCGCGAGUCAUAAGCUCGCGUUGAUUACGUCCCUGCCCUUUGUACACACCGCCCGUCGCUACUACCGAUUGGAUGGUUUAGUGAGACCCUCGGAUCGGUCCCGACUCGGGGUGGGCUUCUGCCCCGGUCGUGGUUUCGCCGAGAAGACGGUCAAACUUGACUAUCUAGAGGAAGUAAAAGUCGUAACA
rnacentral:rRNA from 1 species